ACAUUGAUCAGUUCAAUGCAUUUGAAAUAACGUAAAUUGAAUUAAUCCGUUCCAGACAUUCAACACGUAUUUGAUAUAAGACAUUUGAAAUGUCUAUUUCUAAAGAACAUAUUGGUAAAUAGUAAAAGAAACAAGUUUAAUAAUCGAAUAUUUUUAUUUAUAAUGAUACAUAUACAUAAAAAUAUUUCAUAAUAUCGCUUAAUUAAUAAUUUUUCUGCAGUCUGUUAAUUGAGAGAGAACUGUACGAGCAGAAGUAAGGCCUGGGUCAGACGAGCGUCAAAAUGACGGAUGUUUCUUUGUUUCUCUUCCUUCUUCUCAGCUGGCAUUUUGCUCGUUUGACCCGGGCUUAAGCAGAGAGAUAAGACGACCAUGUGACGGUUACAUGACGGUGAUUCUGUCUCUUUGUUAGAACUUUGACUUUUCCUUCGAAUUUAAGAGCUGAAUUUUCUUUCACAUCUUUGCUCGCACUUGGAGGAUCUACAUUAUUUGUAUAUCGGUAUUUUUACAAAAUAUUUUGUAAGAUAUAUAGAACAUAAGAUAUAUAAAAUAUAGAAAAAAUGCUCCAUGUUUUGAUAGAUCAGAAGAAUUUUGCAUUCCCAUGAUUAUCAUUUUCGCUUUAUUAUCUGGCAAACAACUUUUUAAAAAUAUUGUAACACGAUAUGCUUCUUGAGAACAUUUUAUUCUGUUACAAAUAUGAGAAUUUUUCAAAGAUUAUUAUUUUAAUUUUUUCAUAGUACAAUAUAUAUACGUAAAUUGAUAAUUUUAGUAUACGAAAUUAAUAGAAUUAAUCAAGUAAUUCGAAUGUGAAACAUGAAAAAUAUUAUUGAAAUUAAAUAAAAUGUUGAAGAAAAUGGCAAAUUAAUUUUCGGAAUUGCGUUAACACGCAAGCGACGCGAUACGAUGCAAUCUCGCUGCAAUAUCGCCAGUGUCAGGCAUUAUGUAUCGGUUAACAUCUUUUUGCUUUCAUCCGGUGAUUCGAUUUCGUCGUUUAGUCCCCUUCUGCAAAUAUAUGUAUAUUCCCUACUUGACAACUAUCCUGAGAUCUCGAUACGUGGCUAUGGCCUUACGGCCUUCUUACAAGAUUAUCCACACCAAGAUAGUAAUCGUUUUGUUUUCUGGGCAACUACACGCAGGAUAGAAAGCGUCGUGUUGCUAUCGCAGUCGCAAAUCAUUUACCACUUUACCGCUAUCUAUAUCUAUAGAUCAUCUCAAAUACAUAUUUCUAAACGUUCUAGGAGAUAUUCAAAAGAUGUAAAACAUUUGUGUAUAGACUAAUUAUUAUGUAACAAAUUACAAUAGAUUAUUACGAUUAUUAUGAAAUAUUUAUUCGUUGAAUCGUUCGAGUUCUUAAGGACUUCGUUUAAUCAAUCGAUCGUAUUUUUCGAUUUGUAAUUUAUGAUUUAUUGUAAUUUACAUUUUACUGUAAAUUCAUUUCAUUUAUACGUAGCACAGUUUAAAUAAUCUUCUUUAUCCUAAUCAAUUAUUUUUAUCGAUUAUUAAUAACCUUAAAACAAAUACAUAUGUAUAUACGAUGUAACAUAUAGAACAUUAUUUCUGUAAAUUAUUAUCCAUUCAAAUUAUACUACGAUUUCCAAGUAAAUGUAUAUCCGAUAUAUUAGAAUUUUAUGUAGAUAUCGAAUUUGACUAUUUUUAGUAUACCUACAUUUUACAGUAGAAUUUUAUACGCGUAUCGAAUUUUCUUACAUAUUUGAUUUAUAUAAUAGACUUUAUAUUGAGAGAUCUUGUUAAUUUUUGUCAUUGAAAAUAAAAAUAUCCUUAAACAUGUCAGUCAGAGAUCUAAAGAGACAGAAAAAUGCAAUUUAAAGCAUUCUAAGACAGAUGCUCAGUGUUCUUUCAAUUUUAAAAUACAAAUCAAAAUUGAACAACGAAUUAUUAACGUAGGAAGAAUUCAAUGUUGAGAAAUUCAAUUGCAUAUCUUAUCAGAUAUUUAAAUGAAGCUUAACGGAGGUUAAUGUAUGGAAGCCGAAAAUAAAAGGUAUCAGUCGACCGAAGCUUAUUAUGUACCUACUUUUUACAUUUAUUAAACAUACCAAUAAGAUAAUUCGUCGUAACUUGCAAGUUUACGUUUUUUUCUACGUAUAAUGCCAAUGACCGUGACUCGAUAGUGACAUUAAGACGUCGAGGUAACAUUAAAAAAGAGAAGAAAAAAAUACUAAAUUGUUUUUCCUCGAGUAACGAAGUAUCCUUAAAAACACAUUGAAAGGUUUCGAUCUUUUCGAGGUUACCCCAUCUUUCACGAAAAUCACCACGUACGUAUAUACUUUUAACAUUUAGUAUAUCUGCUACUUGGUAUCGAAGUGAAUUCAAUAGCUUGGUAAUUACAGUCACAUUAACAGAGUAACACGAAGAAAAUGUCCAUCGUUAGAAAUUCUUUAUUUCAAUCAUUAGAAAAAAGAAUAUACGUAAUAAAAUACGCAUUUGAAUAUUUAAACUGCAAUAGGUACUCGUUGUAUUUAUUACAACGAAAAAAAUGAAAGCAUAUCAAACAUUGAUCCUCCAAUCGAUAUAGAAGAUGCAAAAUAUCGAUUAAUUUUAUGUCUAAAUUAACAUCGUAUCUUUCGAGUAUUACAAAACGUUCACAUCCAUUUUAGUAGCAAGUAAUAACACGUAAUAAUUACUUAAUCGAUCACACAUAGAUAUUCUCAUUUUUGAAUCGCAUCUGUCAUCGAUUCGAUAAUAUAGCAAUAUAAUAAAACCUAAAUCGAUAACGCGCAAUUAUGCAAGAUUUUUAAUGUAUAUUUCUAUACCGCUCGUUGCUUCGACCAACGAUCGUAUGUAUUUAAUGCAAAGUUAAAUUAUUACAUAAACGAUGAAUAGCUAACAAUAGCUAACACUACACUAUCAAACAAUCACUUUCCCUUUCGAGAAUUAUUGCCACACGUUUGCAAGAAAUUAUGGCGUAAUUCUUCCUUUCUAACCAUUUGACUAAUCGAACAUCUCGGAAACUAAGGUCAAGCAGAGUUAUACGUAUAGGAAAAAGUUGUUGAAAACGUUGAUCUUUGCAACGUAUUGAUGGAGAAUGGAAAUGGAAAUCGAUGAGGUAAUUGUGAAUAUGUAAUUACCUUUUUUUUUCUUCUUUCUAUCUACUUCCAUGCUAUCUUUUCUUCUAUUUGCAUUCGUUGUUUGACAUCUGAAUUUGUAUAACAAAUGUUGCUACGCCUACGUGUUGAAGUAAAACGGGUGUAUUCCCUGUUUUGCUCGUGUUUACUCAGUGGCUGUGUAACGAACCACUCCGACACAGUGUAUAUUUGUCUGCUUAUUUCUGCGUGUGUGAUUAUUAUCGAACUACUUACUAGUAUUACUAUAGGAUACGCUGUUACACUAGUAGAUUACGAUCGCGAUCAAAAUUACAAGCACUUGCACGUUAGCUGUGUUAUCGAAACACAUCGAAUCUGUUCGGCUGGUAACAGGCGAAGCGGAAUUGAUGUUAAAUUAUGAUCCGUCAUCAGAUAAUUGAAAAUAUUUCGUUCAAAGUACACGUAAUAUCGAAAGAUAAUUAUAAUUAAAUCAUGACCAUCAGCAGUUAAGAUAAAAUGCACGCAACGUGAUAUCUUUUUUGUUAGUUUGAAAAAUGGAAGGUUUUGUUCAAAUUUUAAAAGUAAUUUUCGUGUCAAGAAAUUUAGCAAACAGUAAAACGCAGUUUGAAAAUCUUUACUUGGAACGUUUAGAUAAAUGUCCUAUGAGGCGAUACGUUAUUGUUAAGUUAUAAUUAAUAUAAAAAUAUAUGAAGUGCCGAAUGCAAGUAUAACAACAUCUAUUUAUGAAUUUAUUCCUGUAGCUAAGAGUUUGCCGAGAAAGUAUUUUCCAACAAUUAGAUAUUCAAGCAGUUUCGCUUCUCAGAAGAUGCAUAUAUGAAUUCAAUUGGCUAUGACAAAAAGUUUAUUAUACCUCACUUUCACUGUCUCACUUUAUAACGUUACACACGGUACAUACUAUUCGCAAUUAAAUAGGUCCUUUCAUAUGUUGUGUCUUCUUUUUUAGAUCUAACGACCUAGAUCAUGUACUUUAUAUUUAUGUACUUUAUACUAUAUUACAUAUUCGAUUCUAAGGACCUGUCUUGUGACAAUAUAACAAAUAUAACACCAAAACAGUUAUAUAAGUUAGCUAUGUAGAAAUAAUAGGAAAAUAAAAGAAAUGAUAAUUUACAAUUUAAAAUCUCAAAAAAAUGUUAACUUACAUAAAAACAGCUAUAUAGAAAUACGAAGAAACUACGGUAUUUGACGAUAAUGCCAUAGAAAUACGCAACUACAAAGAGUAAAGAGGAGGUAGAAUUCCGUAGCUUGGUAUCUGGCAAUUACCAACUGUACCAUACAGAGACGAAUAAAAAUAAUAAGAAAAUAAAAGAAAUGAUAAUUUACAAUUUAAAAUCUCGAAAAAUGUUAACUUACAUAAAAACAGCUAUAUAGAAAUACGAAGAAACUACGGUAUUCGACGAUAAUGCCAUAGAAAUACGCAACUACAAAGAGUAAAGAGAAGGUUGAAUUCCGUAGCUUGGUAUCUAGCAAUUACCUAGAGACGAAUAAAAAUAAUAAGAAAAUAAAAGAAAUGAUAAUUUACAAUUUAAAAUCUCAAAAAAAUGUUAACUUACAUAAAAACAGCUAUAUAGAAAUACGAAGAAACUACGGUAUUCGACGAUAAUGCCAUAGAAAUACGCAACUACAAAGAGUAAAGAGAAGCUUGAAUUCCGUAGCUUGGUAUCUAGCAAUUACCUAGAGACGAAUAAAAAUAAUAAGAAAAUAAAAGAAAUGAUAAUUUGCAAUUUAAAAUCUCGAAAAAUGUUAUCUUACAUAAAAACAGCUAUAUAGCAAUACGAAGAAACUACGGUAUUCGACGAUAAUGCCAUAGAAAUACGCAACUACAAAGAGUAAAGAGAAGGUUGAAUUCCGUAGCUUGGUAUCUAGCAAUUAUCAACUCUACGAUAUAGAGAUGUAUUAAUAACGAAUUUACUAUUAAUUAACAAUGUAAUAUUCUUAAUAAGGAAUUUAAUAUUCUUCCGAUCGGAGCAUUACGACACAGCAUUCAAUCUUUCCCCCGACAAACUUAUAAAUUGCUCUAGACAAAUAUUUCUGUGUUUAAAGUAGGUACUCGAGGAGCAAGGCGGAAUAAUCGCACGUGGUGGAACGCGUAAAUCUUUCGUAACGGUUUGCUCCAGUUUAUUUCCAGUAUAUGCCGGCAAGUCGUACACGUCAGUCAUAAGAUACAUCUCGAUCUCGAUGCAACAAUCGUCCCGCAACUCGUGCCACGAAAACGGUGUACCUUCGUCUUUCUAGCAAUUAAUCCCGAGGCUAAAAUUGAAGACGUUUCAUAAUUGGAGAAGGGGUCACGACAACGAGCUUGAAAAACUGGCGGCGCAGCACCGCGCGUCGUUCAAUUGACCAUCAUUCGACUUGAUUCGUGUCAGUAAACAACUAGCGCAAACAAUAGCCGUGUGGCCGAAAUCCUUUCGAAAAUAACAAUCUGUGGCAGAUGUUACGACGUAAAAUUCACGGAAUCGACAUCAGGUGAAGCGCUUAAGGAGGAAAAUAGGUGGUAACGGUGCCAAGAGAGUCCUGAAUUUUGCAAAAAACGAGUGCAACGCAUUCUCCGGAUGCGACGAAUCCGUUCAGCGGCUGUUCACGCUGGUAAUUCUAGUCGGUUAUCCAGUUCUCCGUGGGCAUUAGAACAGUGCAGUUCACACGCAGUCUACGCUGUUACGUUACUUUUGACUCUGUCCUGAAUUCGUGCCGUCUCGUUUCAAGUAACUAACCAGUCGGCGGACGAGUAAAAUAUUUUCCAAACGGAAGAAAGGAUUUGCGAUAAGGAACAUUGCGAGAAUAUCGAAAUAGCGAAAGAGAAAAGCAGCGAAAUUUCGAUAGCGAAAUUAGAUCGACAAACGAUACGUUGAACACGCCUUAGAAAUGAGUUGGAAAUGCUAAAAGGGCAGAUAAUUAAAAGCUGAUGGACAUUGGGAAAGAAAUAAAAUCAAGGCGAUUUUAACGCGAAUCGCGGUUAGACAGAGAGGUCGGCUAACGAGAAGACGACUGGAGAAACAAGUUUGCCAAGACGAAAGACGAAAGAUGGCGAGCGUAGAUAAAAAUCUCGAGGAGCUGAUGAUGCAUCUCGGCGAAUUUGGUAAAUACCAAUGCUGGCAAUUCUGUUUGCACAUUCUCGGCGCAUUGACAGCCGGUCUGCAUAUGCUGACCUUACUCACAGUCGCUGCAGUGCCACCGCACACGUGCAACGUUCCGCGGUCCACGUUUCCGACAGAAUCGUUCAAUUUCACAUCUUCAACAUGGAACUCCUCUAUCGCGUUCGACGACGUUCCCCGAGCGGUGGACGCGUGCCACUAUUUGGACGCGAACAACGUUACGAAGGAGUGCGAUUCGUGGACCUACGACACGGAGUACUUCCAAUCGUCGCGCGGAAUGGAAUGGAAUUUCGUUUGCUCGCAGCGAUGGAUGGGCGCAGCAGCGCAAUCUUGCUACAUGUUCGGCGUGUUUAUCGGAGCCGUAACGCUGGGCAGUUUGGCCGACAAGUACGGCAGAAAGAUAAUAUUCUACGUGUCUGCUGUUGCCCAACUUGUUUUCGGAGUGACCGUAGCUUUGGUGAACAAGUACUACGUUUUCCUCGUCCUCAGAUUUCUAUACGGUAUCUUCGGUUCGGCUGGCGCUUACAUAACAGGAUUCGUCCUGACGAUGGAACUGGUCGGAGCAACAAAGAGGACCGUUUGCGGAAUAAUGUUUCAACUGGCGUUCGCCGUUGGGUUCAUGCUAGUAGCCGUUUGGGGUGCCGUGAUCAAGGACAGAACGUGGCUGCAAAUCGUCUACGGGCUUCACAGCGUACUUCUUAUCGGCCACUGGUGGCUCAUGGACGAAUCUCCACGUUGGCUGUGGGCUCAAGGUCGCGUCAGCGAGGCGUUGACUAUCAUACGAAAAGGUCUGAAGAUGAAUGGCAAAAACGUAGAUAUAGAUACGGGAAAAUUGAUCAGCGAAGGGAAGAUACGGCAGAUGGAUCAAGAGGAACAAGGUUCUUACGGAGCCUUGGAUCUCUUCAAGACUCCCAAUCUCCGAAAGAAAACGUUAAACGUAUGUCUGAAUUGGUUCGCCAAUUCCAUCGUCUAUUAUGGGUUGUCGUUGAACGCAGGAAAUCUCGUUGGAAAUCCAUUUCUGAUGUUGUUCCUCAGCGGUUUGGUGGAAUUACCUUCGUACUUGCUAAUGUGCUUCCUGAUGGACCGUACCGGAAGAAGAUGCCUGGUCAGUACGUUCAUGUUGAUCGGCGGCGUGUGCUGUAUAAUCGCCUCCAGCAUCCCGACUGGUACUGAUACAGCUGCCACCAUAAUCGUAACCAUCGUCCUGUUCGGCAAAGCUUGCAUAGCUGGCUCCUUCGCGGUUAUUUAUAACUACACGGCCGAACUGUUCCCUACGGUAGUAAGAAAUACCGCCUUGGGAAUAGGCUCUAUGUGCGCUCGUUUCAGCGGAGCUCUCACACCGUUGAUAAUGCUGUUGGACUCUCUGAAUCCCAAAGUGCCUGCGGUACUCUUCGGUUUCGUCGCCCUGGUAUCUGGUUUCUUAUCGUUGUACCUGCCGGAGACUGUGAAUCAGCCGAUGCCUGAAACUAUCGAGGACGGUGAGAAUUUUGGCAAACACGACACCUGUUUCGCUAUGUAUUUGCGCUCGGGCAGAAAAACCAGCGCCGCUUACGAAGCUACACAACUUACGCAACUCACCGUCGACACAGACGAGAAGGAGAAGCUGAAUGAAGGAGGAAGCCCCAAGGAAAAUUCCCACUAGAGAGCAUCCGUUGCCACUCUUUUUUAUUCUUAUAAAAAUCUUCGAAAACAUUCCUACUAUCGUCGAUUUGUUUCUCGAUUGACCGUUUUACGCUUAACUCGACUGGACUAUAAGCAGGUAAAACUGUGACAAGCGCGAGAAUACAUAUCGUGAUUGAAUUAUUUUCCUAAUCCUAUACGAUUCUAAUCGCUAAAUAUGGAAGAAAGUUUUAUCUCUUCUUACAACUUCUCGCGACCAUCGUAAAGUAAUCCUUAUUAAACCAUUGAUCCAUUAAAUAUCGAUAUACGUACGUGUAUUUACGUGCUACAUUGGUUCACUACAGUAUUCGUAGCAAUCGAAGUUUACUAAUUUUCGAUAAACUCGUAUACGUACAAGGUACGGCCGAGCACGAGGUGAUUCAUUAUGAAAGAAUAAGAACGAAAUAUGGAAUAAUAUUUGUUCAUUUAAGGCUUAGUUUUCGAGAAAAUCGAGUUUGGAAAUUUAUCAAGUAUACUUGAAGAACAUGGUUAAUUACCGACUGGUAUGAGUAAACGAUCGAUAAGAUGUUAUCGAUAGAAGCGAAAGUAAGUAGAAGAUAUAAAAUAAAACUUGUCUGUUCAAGGCUAUAUUUUCAAGAAAACAGAGUUCGAACAUGUUUAGUUAAGAAUCGAUCUAGUAAUUACACGCGUACGAUAAUUUUUCAAAUUUAUUUUUUCGGAAACAAAGUGUCUCGAGGAAAUAUUUUAUUCUGCAUUUUCCACUUAUUUUCACGCGUAAAAUGACCUGCUGUCGAUUAUUUAACCCUGUCUAGUCCGGAAUUAGCCACGUAAAAAUAUGCUUGAUAAAUUUUAAAACUCGAUUUUCUUGCAAAUCAAGCCUUAAAUGAACAAAUUUUAUUCCAUAUUGUGUUCUUAUUUUUUCAUAAGGAAUCACUUCGUGCCCGCUUGUACGUGUUAUUCGGCUGCACCCUGUACAUUUCAACCGACUACAUACGUAUCGUGUAAUUUUAGUCUACUAGAAACGUUCACAAGUAGCUACUCUCUGCCUUGAAUAUCCUAUACAUUUUCCCGAAAUAAACUUUCAUUUAUCUAUUUAUAAUUAUCAUCUCUUUCUUUCCAUCUUGCAGCUUUCCACGCGAUAAAUUCUCCAUUUAAAGUUGAACAUUUUUAGUGCACUUGACGGAUUACUUUGGCGCCAUAUUGGCUUUUAGCCGUCAUUCGAUUGGUCGCGCAGAUGAGCGCGGAACCGAAGUUGCCGGAAAUUAGUUUGACUGGCGUAAUCAUAGAGAUAUACGUAUAUACAUAUAUACAGAUAUACAUGUGUGUGUUCGUGUGUGUGUGUGAUGACAUUUAUUUACAAUCAACGACGACUCAUUGCACGAAUCGUGGCUAGAAGCCAAUAUGGCGUCAAAGUAACCGGUUAAAUACGCUAAAAGUGCUCGAUUUUAUACAAGUACGAACGCGUAACUUUUGAACCAGUGGAUGCUGCAUUUUAAAAUUCGUUUCUUAGGUCGGGACACAUCGAAAACUACAAGUUAAGUCAUUUUAAGUUAAACCUUUUUACCUAUUACAUAUAUGUAUAUACGUAUACGUCCAUAUAUGCAUCCCGAACAUUUUGCUUCCUUUAAAUUUCCCAUGAACGAAUAGAAGUCGACGAAUCGUCCGAUUAUGGUCACCUGUUUGCGGUAACUGUGCAGUUUACGAUCAAAUGCGGUUAUGUUUGCCAGCAUUAACGUCGAUCAUUCAAGAAACCUUGGAUAGUGCUUUUUCUUUUUAUAUUCGAUCCUUCUUUACAGACGCAUCGAUCGAUGCAGCAGUAGGUUAGUGUUAAACAUUCGAUCGAGAUUGUAAAUUGAGCUUCUCAGAAUUUUUAUUCGUUUUAACAAAUUUUAAUUUUAGAAAAUUGGCUCGUUUGGAAAAUUUUAAUACGUACAUAGUUGUGACGUUCGAUUAAAAUGCUUGAAAUUAUCUCUCGUUCGAUAGAAAGUUGUAUCGUGUAAUAAUUCUACGGCAUUUUCAUCUAGUGCAUAUCGACAACUUACUUUCUGUUCUGUUCAAAUCGUAUGAUAUCUUUCUCCGAGUUAUAGAAAAUACAAUGGGGAUCUUUACGUUCUACAUUUUAUGCGAUAUGCAUUUGUCGCCACCGAGGAGUCCCGAUUUUCCACCAAUUAUGUCCAGAGACAUAAUACUGCAACGCUAUAUUAUAGCCUAUAGUCUAUAUAUUAUAGUCUAUAGUCUAUAGUCUGUAGACCAUCGGUAUACCAACAAAUAAUUUUCCUUGUACAAUUAAUUUCUGUAUUCUAAACAAUACGCGUUCUAACCUUAAAGCAUGAACAUUUUUUUCGAAACUUCUGUCUUUUAAUUUCCAGCCCGCCUCUAAAUCUAUUUCAAAUAAUCUAUUUAACCAGUUAGCUGUUAUUGAUGAGUACACUCGUCAUGAAGAAAUGGCAAUAGUUUGUGCUACGACGAGUAUACUCGUCAUGCGUAAAAAACACUUAGAAUAUGCUGUUUAAAUUGCAAUUUAGUAAUCGCAGUAAAUUGCGGUAAUGAAAUUAAAAAAUAAAACAUUCAUAUCAUUACAAGUUAAUUCUAUGUUACAACAGCCACGUAUACUCCGUAUUUGACGAGUGUACUCGUCAUCGCUUACUUUUUCCCCACACAUUUUAAGUACUACACACUUUACAAAGAGGUCGUAACAGCUAACCGGUUAAAAUAUUUACGAUACUUUAUAAAAGUAUACUUUUUAUAAAAUUUAUAACUUAUGUAAAAAAUAUAUUUAUAUAUUAUAUAAAAGAA